rfam:Myotis lucifugus cont2.28089, whole genome shotgun sequence.
CGUGCACUGGUGGGGUCCCUCAGCCUGGCCUGUGGACAAUCCCCCAAGGGGUCCCGAAUUGCAAGAGGGUGCAGGCCAGGCUGAGGGACCCCACCGGUGCAUG